UCUAAUGUGGCAGAAUAGUGCAAUGAAUUUAAGCUUCAUGUAUAAAGCCAAUCUUUCUUUAGAA
rnacentral:tRNA from 2 species